GGGGAGGGGCGAACCGAGACAGUGGUCCAGAAGCAGGCUGUAGCUGAGGAGAUCUGCGAGAAGGGCCCGGCGCACAUCCAGGGGACACCCCCUGCCGCACCU